CAUGUCUUUUUGAUUAUUAUUUAAGGUUUAAUCUGCUCAAUGAUUAGUUAAGAAUGGCCGCAGUAUCUUAACUGUGCUAAGGUAGCAUAAUCAAUAGAUUUUUAAUUGAAAUCUGGAAUGAAUGAUUGGACAAGAUAAUUUCUGUUUCUUUUUAAUUAAAUGUUGAAUUUUUUUUUUAAGUGAAAAAACUUAAAUAUUUUUAAAAGACGAGAAGACCCUAUAGAGUUUUAUAAUUAACUUGGAUUUUUAGUAAUUAUAUUUUAUGUUAUUUAUUUAGUUGGGGUGACUUGAAGAUUGAGAAAAUUCUUUAAAUUUUAAGUUGAUGUUAAUUAAAUUUAAAAUUUAAUUGUUUUGAAUUUAAUACAAAUUACCUUAGGGAUAACAGCGUAAUUUUUCUUGAAAGUUCUUAUUAAAAGAAAAGAUUGCGACCUCGAUGUUGGAUUAAAAUUUGUUAUUGGUGCAAGAGCUUAUUAACUUGGUCUGUUCGACCUUUAAAAUU
rnacentral:rRNA from 1 species